CCUACGGGAGGCAGCAGUGGGGAAUAUUGCACAAUGGGCGAAAGCCUGAUGCAGCGACGCCGCGUGAGGGAUGAAGGCCUUCGGGUUGUAAACCUCUUUCAGCAGGGAAGAAGCGAAAGUGACGGUACCUGCAGAAGAAGCGCCGGCUAACUACGUGCCAGCAGCCGCGGUAAU
rnacentral:rRNA from 1 species